rnacentral:lncRNA from 1 species
AAUGGCGGCCUCCAUGAUCUCGUCGUCAGCUCUGGUGGCGCCGGCCAGGGCCCAGGGCCUGCCGUCCCUCGGCCGCCGCGCCUCCUCCUUCGCCGUCGUCUGCGGCACCGGCAAGAAGAUCAAGACCGACAAGCCCUUCGGGAUUGGGGGUGGCCUGACCGUCGACAAAGAUGCCUCCGGGAGGAAGGUCAAGGUGAGACCUAUUACUGCUUCUUUCUUUCUUUCUUUCUUUCUUUCUUUCUGACUCGAAUUAAUCCCAGUUUGGAACACAGGAAUUUCUGAGAGAUUUUCGACGAUAUAGAUUCAGUACAUCUAUGACCAUUGAUAAAGCUAGCUGAACUUUUUGCUUUUCUGAUGGAUGCAGGGCAAGGGCGUGUACCAGUUCGUCGACAAGUACGGCGCCAACGUCGACGGAUACAGGUGAGCAUGCAUCAUCAUGUAGACGAUAGCAGGCAUGAAGAUCCAUGUGUUGUUUGGGAGAGGAUCAUAGAGCUGUUCACGUGCGUGAAUAUCAGUAUGUAGUUGAUUGGACGCUUAUUAUGUUUGUUUGCCAAACAAUUUGCAGCCCAAUCUACAAGGAGGAGGACUGGUCUCCCACCGGUGACGUCUACGUCGGCGGUAAGUAGCUAGUAAUUUCACUCAUUCACUUGUCCGUAAUAUAUAUAUUGCUAUGGUUACAAGGAAAUUAAGCACCAGAUCUAUGUGCUUGGUUGAAUAAUUUCAGUUAGUAUGCACAGCUUAAAAGCGAUGAAAAUUUCAUUCAUUAUAUUUAAUUUAUUGUGGUCCAUAAUGUCUGUAUUAAUUUCCUUAUCAUACACACCGUUUAAAAUUUACAUUUACACCAGUAUUGUGACUCCAUAACGGUGUCUAGGUCCUGUUUUUUUUUAAAAAAAGUUUCCACCCUGGCCCGGAUUACAUAAUCCAGCUUUAUAUAAUAAGCUAAGCUGGAUUAUGUGAUCUUUUGGGAUAGGAAACAAACAUGACCUCAAAGAACAUGUUGUGUUAGCAAAUAAUGCGAAAACAAGAUCGAACACGAGACACGAUUUUUACGUGGAAAAUCCUUGCGCGAAAAAACUGCGGACGCCAACCGGCGAUCUUCACUGUAAUGAGAGAUAAUGAGAGAGUUACAACGCAGAGAAUACAUUGAGUCGUCAACUCUUCCCAUGCGGCUUGCAAGAUGUAUAUAUAGGGCGGACUGAACUGACUGCAGUCAACGAAAAUAAAUCCGCUAAUCACGUAACCCGAACCGUGGGCUCUCCCGGCGUCCCCACAAGACACGGUUAUAAUUUGGAUCAUAUCCAACAUGUUGUAGUAAUGCUCGCAUGGAGACUAAGAUCCUACAUGGAGUCCUUCUGAAAUAAAGGUUUGUGGUAAUUGAUAUCCUUAUUCUUUAUGUUACAGGAACCACCGGACUUCUGAUCUGGGCCGUCACCCUCGCCGGGCUCCUUGGUGGCGGCGCCCUCCUUGUUUACAACACCAGCGCCCUCGCCAGCUAAGAACAUUAUUCAUGCAAGCGCUUGCGGUUCGUGUAAGAUCAGCCCGGGUGUCUGUCUGUAAU